rnacentral:rRNA from 1 species
GGCGGACGCUGGCGGCGUGCCUAAUACAUGCAAGUAGAACGCACAGUUUAUACCGUAGCUUGCUACACCAUGGACUGUGAGUUGCGAACGGGUGAGUAACGCGUAGGUAACCUGCCUGGUAGCGGGGGAUAACUAUUGGAAACGAUAGCUAAUACCGCAUAAUAUUGAUUAUUGCAUGAUAAUUGAUUGAAAGAUGCUAUUGCAUCACUACCAGAUGGACCUGCGUUGUAUUAGCUAGUAGGUGAGGUAACGGCUCACCUAGGCGACGAUACAUAGCCGACCUGAGAGGGUGAUCGGCCACACUGGGACUGAGACACGGCCCAGACUCCUACGGGAGGCAGCAGUAGGGAAUCUUCGGCAAUGGACGAAAGUCUGACCGAGCAACGCCGCGUGAGUGAAGAAGGGUUUCGGAUCGUAAAGCUCUGUUGUAAGAGAAGAACGGGUGUGAGAGUGGAAAGUUCACACUGUGACGGUAGCUUACCAGAAAGGGACGGCUAACUACGUG